rnacentral:tRNA from 1 species
GAAGGUAUAGCUUAGUGGUAGAGCUCGUGCCUCGUGUGCCCAAGGUUCUGGGUUCAAUCCCCAGGACCUCCA